UCAAAAAAAAUCUUAAAAAAAUUAAAAAAAAAAUAAGAAAUCUUAAAAGAAUUAAAAUUAAAUCUACAAUAAACCUUAAAAAAAUCCUCAAGAAGCCUUAAAAAUAUUAAAAUAAUCAUAAAUAUAUCUUAAAUAAAUUUCAAUCAAGUUCUAAUUUAAUUCCAGUUGAAACUUUAAGAGACUUCAAUCAAAUCCUAGAUAAACCUAAAAUCAAAUACUAAAUAAAUACUAAAUCCUAAAUCAAACCUUAGAUCAAAUCUUAGAUCCUAAACAAAAUCCUAAGUCAAAUCCUAAAUCAAAUCCUAGAAAAAUCUUAAAUCUUAAAUCAAAUCCUAAAUCUUAAACCAAAUCUUAGACAAAUUCUAAAUCC
rnacentral:lncRNA from 1 species